rnacentral:tRNA from 1 species
ACUAACAACAUUAAAUAAAUUAACAGGAAUUUUUAUUACUAAAGAUGUUAUUAGUAUUAAUAGUAUUAAUA